AUUGAACGCUGGCGGCGUGCUUAACACAUGCAAGUCGAUCGGUAACGCGGGGGCAACCCUGGCGACGAGAGGCGGACGGGUGAGGAACGCUUGGGAAUCUGCCCUUCAGCGGGGGACAACACGGGGAAACUCGUGCUAAUACCGCAUACGCUCCACGGAGGAAAGCCGGGGACCGCAAGGCCUGGCACUGAAGGAUGAGCCCAAGUCGGAUUAGCUAGUUGGCGGGGUAACGGCCCACCAAGGCGACGAUCCGUAGCUGGUCUGAGAGGACGAUCAGCCACACGGGGACGGAGACACGGCCCAGACUCCUACGGGAGGCAGCAGUGGGGAAUAUUGGACAAUGGGGGAAACCCUGAUCCGGCGACGCCGCGUGGGUGAAGAAGGCCUGCGGGUUGUAAAGCCCUUUCGGUAGGGACGAAAGCUCUCGACCUAACACGUCGGGAGGUUGACUUAACCUACAGAAGAAGCACCGGCUAACUCUGUGCCAGCAGCCGCCGUAAAAC
rnacentral:rRNA from 1 species